UACGUAGGCAGCAAGCGUUGUUCGGAAUUACUGGGCGUAAAGAGUGUGUAGGCGGUGCUCUAAGUCUGUCGUGAAAUCUCCCGGCUUAACUGGGAGGGUGCGGCGGAUACUAUUGUGCUAGAGGGUGGGAGAGGUAAGCGGAAUUCCUGGUGUAGCGGUGAAAUGCGUAGAUAUCAGGAGAACACCUGCGGUGUAGACAGCUUACUGGACCACUUCUGACGCUGAGACACGAAAGCGUGGGGAGCAAACAGG
rnacentral:rRNA from 1 species